AAAUAUUUAAAUUUUUUCAUUUUUUUUUUUUUUUUUUUUUUCGAUAGGGAAAAGACAUAGAGGACAUGUACGUAAUUCCUACAUGGAAGUGUACACCAAAAAACAUGGCUGUCAACUUUCCAGGAUUGCCACGCCAAACCUUUGGAAAUGACUGCGGGAUUUUCAUGCUUAUGUAUACCCUUUGCAUUGUGACAGGUGUGGGGUUUGACUUCCAGGAGGUUAGUUGAUUUAAAAAAAAAAAAAAUGUACAAGGAAAUUUCUCACUUUUACAUGUUGUCUGUGUGUACACUCUUCAUCAUGAAGAAAAUAGAUACAUCAUGAACUAAAGAUUCUCCUCAUCACUGUCACACAUCUUUCAGAUGGACAUGCCUUUAAUUCGGUGGUGUCUUCUUCUGAUGGAGCGCUUCAAAAUAGAAUUGUAUGGCACCACUAAACAAUAUAUGUAUAUUAAUUUCUGUACAAACAGACUGGAACUACCUGUGCUUUAAACAGUUUUAAACCACACCUUUGAGUCAAUUAGACAUUUGUGUGCGUCACUUGUGCACCAAAUGCCUUAGUUUCUGCCUAUGCAGUACUAGAUUAAUCUUCUUAAUGUCUGAAAGGUAUGGUCAGCGGUUUGCCUUCUGGACUGAUGAGGCCUGAAGCUUGGUCCAAGGAACUCUUCAGCCUGUCUCUGAGAAGGUCCCAGUCCACAUUGAGUCUGAGGAUGACCGCACCACAGAAGAAAAG
ensembl:lncRNA